UCCGGUGUGGUGUAUCGGUAACAUAUCCGCCUCUCAUGAACAGGAGACAUCCAGAUCGACGCGGUUGCGCGGGGUUCGAUUCCCCGCACCGGAA